rnacentral:rRNA from 1 species
AACGAACGCUGGCGGCAGGCCUAACACAUGCAAGUCGAGCGAAGCCUUCGGGCUUAGCGGCGGACGGGUGAGUAACGCGUGGGAACGUGCCCUUUGCUACGGAAUAGCCCCGGGAAACUGGGAGUAAUACCGUAUGUGCCCUUCGGGGGACAGUGUUACCGGCAAAGGAUCGGCCGUCGUGGGAUUAGGUAUCUGGUGGGGUAAUGGCAUACCAAGCCGACGAUCCAUAGCUGGUUUGAGAGGAGGAUCAGCCACACUGGGACUGAGACACGGCCCAGACUCCUACGGGAGGCAGCAGUGGGGAAUCUUAGACAAUGGGGGAAACCCUGAUCUAGCCAUGCCGCGUGAUCGAUGAAGGCCUUAGGGUUGUAAAGAUCUUUCAGUGGGGAAGAUAAUGACUGUACCCACAGAAGAAGCCCCGGCUAACUCCGUGCCAGCCGCCGCAGUAAAAC